rnacentral:rRNA from 1 species
AUUGAACGCUGGCGGCAGGCCUAACACAUGCAAGUCGAACGGUAACAGGAAACAGCUUGCUGUUUCGCUGACGAGUGGCGGACGGGUGAGUAAUGUCUGGGAAACUGCCUGAUGGAGGGGGAUAACUACUGGAAACGGUAGCUAAUACCGCAUAACGUCGCAAGACCAAAGAGGGGGACCUUCGGGCCCCUUGCCAUCGGAUGUGCCCAGAUGGGAUUAGCUAGUAGGUGGGGUAACGGCUCACCUAGGCGACGAUCCCUAGCUGGUCUGAGAGGAUGACCAGCCACACUGGAACUGAGACACGGUCCAGACUCCUACGGGAGGCAGCAGUGGGGAAUAUUGCACAAUGGGCGCAAGCCUGAUGCAGCCAUGCCGCGUGUAUGAAGAAGGCCUUCGGGUUGUAAAGUACUUUCAGCGGGGAGGAAGGGAGUAAAGUUAAUACCUUUACUCAUUGACGUUACCCGCAGAAGAAGCACCGGCUAACUCCGUG